AGCGCAGGCGGGAAGACAAGUUGGAAGUGAAAUCCAUGGGCUCAACCCAUGAACUGCUUUCAAAACUGUUUUUCUUGAGUAGUGCAGAGGUGGGCGGAAUUCCCGGUGUAGCGGUGGAAUGCGUAGAUAUCGGGAGGAACACCAGUGGCGAAGGCGGCCUACUGGGCACCAACUGACGCUGAGGCUCGAAAGUGUGGGUAGCAAACA
rnacentral:rRNA from 1 species